CGACGGUAUGGUAUUGGCUUACCGUCGCAGUGACGGUUAACGGGGGAUUAGGGUUCGAUUCCGGAGAGGGAGCCUGAGAAACGGCUACCACAUCUAAGGAAGGCAGCAGGCGCGCAAAUUACCCAAUUCUAACAGUUUGAGAGAGGUAGUAACAAGAAAUAACAAUACAAGGCAGUUAAAAUGCUUUGUAAUUGGAAUGAUAGAAAUUUAAACCCUUUUUAAAGUAUCAAUUGGAGGGCAAGUCUGGUGCCAGCAGCCGCGGUAAUUCCAGCUCCAAUAGCGUAUAUUAAAAUUGUUGCAGUUAAAAAGCUCGUAGUUGAAGUUCUGCUGAAAGUAACCGGUCUGCUUUUAAUAAAAGUGGUAUCUUGGUAUGUAUUUAGCAAUGAUGUCCUUUGAAGUGUUUUUUACUUUAUUGUAAUAAAGCAUAUUCAGGACUUUUACUUUGAGAAAAUUAGAGUGUUUCUAGCAGGCUGACGCUUUGAAUACUGCAGCAUGGAAUAAUAAGAUAGGAUUUUAGUUCUACAUUAUUGGUUUUAAGAGCUAAAUUAAUGAUUGAUAGGGACAGUUGGGGGCAUUUGUAUUUAACUGUCAGAGGUGAAAUUCUUAGAUUUGUUAAAGACAAACUACUGCGAAAGCAUUUGCCAAAGAUGUUUUCAUUAAUCAAGAACGAAAGUUAGGGGAUCGAAGACGAUCAGAUAC
rnacentral:rRNA from 1 species